CAAUAAGCGGAGGAGAAGAAACUAACUAGGAUUCCCUCAGUAACGGCGAGUGAAGAGGGAGGAGCCCAGCACCGAAGCCUGUGGCAGGUUUGCUGUUAGGCCAUGUGGUGUGCGGGUCGGCUGGCGGGACUGUCGCUCCACUCGAAGUCCAGCAUUGAGUAUGGUUAUGAGGGGAUUUGGCCCACAGAGGGUGAGAGGCCCGUGCGGGUGGAGGUUCAGACAUGUAAGGCGGUUCACCAGGUCGGCCUCAGAGUCGGGUUGCUUGAGAUUGCAGCCCAAAGUGGGUGGUAAACUCCAUCCAAGGCUAAAUACAGGCUCGAGUCCGAUAGCGAACAAGUACCGUGAGGGAAAGUUGAAAAGUACUCUGAAGAGAGAGUAAACAGUACGUGAAACCGCAUGCAGGUAAACGGGUGGCGUCAAGCUGCUAGCCCGGGGAAUUCAGCUGACUGGGUUGUAGGGUGCGCGCCUGGUGCGCCAAGUGGCCAGAGUAGGUGGGGACGGUCCACUCCUCGGCUGGGGGUGGGGAUGCGGCUGCGGUGGCGGGGUGGCAGUAUGUUCUACGUGUUGUCAGUCUGUCGCCGUGAUCGUUGCCAUGCGUGUCGUUGAGAAUGCGAAGCAUGCCGUCUGUCUGUGGAGCCGCCUGGUCAGUGCAUUUUCCCUGUGGUGAAUACCACGACCGGUGGGAUUGCCAGUCUGCCGUGGUCGAGUCGCGUCCUUCUGGUGGGGUGGUGGUCGGUGGUUUUCACCACCGCCAUUAUCACCGUCAGGUGGGCGUGAUCGCGGGCGGAGCGAGUGGACGGCGUAGUGGCACUUUGGUGUCGUUGCGUGUUAUCGUGCGCUCGCCGUUAUCGAUGCGUUGUGCUCUAUUGUGCUGUGACCGCAUUACUGUUGCCAGCGCUUCGGUGGACUACGGCAGUGAAAGUGACUGUGCAAGGCACCGUGUUUAUCCACUCCAUCUGGUCGAUUGGUCGGUUGGUCGAUCGAUCGGUUAGGGUAUCCGGCGAGCGCGUCACAGGCGCGAUGGGCGAGGCACUACGCUGUGCGCGUGUGUUGGGUGUGAUUGCCGUGUCGCUCGCAAAAAGUGAGUCCGGCUUUGGCCUGGUUCACGCGCACUGGCGGUUUGGUCAGUGUCUCGAAUGCGUGCGGUACCGUGGGUGCUAUAGUCAGUGGUACUGUGGUAGACGAGCUACCCGACCCGUCUUGAAACACGGACCAAGGAGUUUAACAUGCGUGCGAGUNNNAGGUUCUACGAAACCCUGAGGCGCAGUGAAAGUGAAGUUCGUGCGAGCGAGUGUUCUUUGGACUCUUGGUCGGACGGCGAGGUGCCCAGCACCGAAGCCUGUGGCAGGUUUGCUGUUAGGUUGCUCGCUGUACUGCUGUGCAAUUGCACUGCAGCAGACCGGCUAGUUGGGGUGGAUGGGCGGCUUGUUCGUGCAUCUCCCUGGCUGGACCAGGUGAAGAGCGGUGGGCGCAUCACCGGCCCGUCUCAUGAUGUGGUUGUUGGUGUCCGACGCUGUUGCCCGUGUGUAUGUGCGUGGGCGUGUCGUCGUCUCGUCUUGUGCGGGAUGGCGGGCGUGCACGCCUCAUUGGUGGCUGCGUCAGCCAAUGCGUCAUCGGGGCGGAGCGUGAGCAUGCAUGUUGAGACCCGAAAGAUGGUGAACUAUGCUUGCGUAGGUUGAAGCCAGAGGAAACUCUGGUGGAGGACCGUAGCGAUUCUGACGUGCAAAUCGAUCGUCAAACGCGAGUAUAGGGGCGAAAGACUAAUCGAACCAUCUAGUAGCUGGUUCCCUC
rnacentral:rRNA from 1 species